rnacentral:rRNA from 1 species
GAUGAACGCUGGCGGCGUGCUUAACACAUGCAAGUCGAACGGAAAGGCCCCUGCUUGCAGGGGUACUCGAGUGGCGAACGGGUGAGUAACACGUGGGUGAUCUGCCCUGCACUUCGGGAUAAGCCUGGGAAACUGGGUCUAAUACCGGAUAGGACGAUGGUCUGGAUGCCAUUGUGGAAAGUUUUUUCGGUGUGGGAUGAGCUCGCGGCCUAUCAGCUUGUUGGUGGGGUAAUGGCCUACCAAGGCGUCGACGGGUAGCCGGCCUGAGAGGGUGUACGGCCACAUUGGGACUGAGAUACGGCCCAGACUCCUACGGGAGGCAGCAGUGGGGAAUAUUGCACAAUGGGCGCAAGCCUGAUGCAGCGACGCCGCGUGGGGGAUGACGGCCUUCGGGUUGUAAACUCCUUUCGCUAGGGACGAGGCGCGAGUGACGGUACCUGGAGAAGAAGCACCGGCUAACUACGUG